CGGGGCCGAGACACUGUCUGA
rnacentral:miRNA from 13 species